UGGGGGAUAUUGCACAAUGGGCGAAAGCCUGAUGCAGCGACGCCUCGUGGGGGAUGAAGGCCUUCGGGUUGUAAACUUCUUUUGCUCUGAACAAGGCGCACCAUGGGGUGUGUUGAGUGUAGGGGUUGAUUAGCGCCGGCUAACUACGUGCCAGCAGCCGCGGUAAUACGUAGGGCGCGAGCGUUGUCCGGAAUUAUUGGGCGUAAAGGGCUUGUAGGUGGCUGGUUGCGUCUGUCGUGAAAGCUCAUGGCUUAACUGUGGGUUUGCGGUGGGUACGGGCUGGCUUGAGUGCAGUAGGGGAGGCUGGAAUUCCUGGUGUAGCGGUGGAAUGCGCAGAUAUCAGGAGGAAUACCGGUGGCGAAGGCGGGUCUCUGGGCUGUUACUGACACUGAGGAGCGAAAGCAUGGGGAGCGAACAGG
rnacentral:rRNA from 1 species